UGCAAGUCGAACGCGAAAGGGGCUUCGGCCCUGAGUAGAGUGGCGAACGGGUGAGUAACACGUGGGUGAUCUACCUUCGAGUGGGGGAUAACGUUCCGAAAGGAGCGCUAAUACCGCAUGACGUUCUGGGUUUGAAGAUUUGGAAACCAAAGUCGGGGCCCUUAGGGAAACUUAAGGCCUGACGCUAGGAGAGGAGCCCGCGCCUGAUUAGCUAGUUGGUGAGGUAACGGCUCACCAAGGCAACGAUCAGUAGCCGGCCUGAGAGGGCGGACGGCCACACUGGGACUGAGACACGGCCCAGACUCCUACGGGAGGCAGCAGUGGGGAAUUGUUCGCAACGGGCGCAAGCCUGACGACGCAACGCCGCGUGGAGGAUGAAGGUCUUCGGAUUGUAAACUCCUGUUGACCGGGAAGAACGGGCCUCGAGUGAAUAGCUCGAGGCAGUGACGGUACCGGUUGAGGAAGCCACGGCUAACUCUGUGCCAGCAGCCGCGGUAAUACAGAGGUGGCAAGCGUUGUUCGGAAUUAUUGGGCGUAAAGAGCUCGUAGGCGGUCUGUCGCGUCGGCUGUGAAAUCCCGGGGCUCAACUCCGGGCUUGCAGUCGAUACGGGCAGGCUAGAGUUCGGCAGGGGAGACUGGAAUUCCUGGUGUAGCGGUGAAAUGCGCAGAUAUCAGGAGGAACACCGGUGGCGAAGGCGGGUCUCUGGGCCGAUACUGACGCUGAGGAGCGAAAGCGUGGGGAGCGAACAGGAUUAGAUACCCUGGUAGUCCACGCCGUAAACGUUGGGCGCUAGGUGUGGGAUCCCUUCCACGGGUUCCGUGCCGCAGCUAACGCAUUAAGCGCCCCGCCUGGGGAGUACGGCCGCAAGGUUGAAACUCAAUGAAUUGACGGGG
rnacentral:rRNA from 1 species